AGGACGAACGCUGGCGGCGUGCUUAACACAUGCAAGUCGAGCGGAAAGGCCCUUCGGGGUACUCGAGCGGCGAACGGGUGAGUAACACGUGAGUAACCUGCCCCUAGCUCUGGGAUAGCUCCGGGAAACCGGGAUUAAUACCAGAUACGACCACUUUAGACAUCUGUCGUGGUGGAAAGGAUUCCGGCUAGGGAUGGGUUCGCGGCCUAUCAGCUUGUUGGUGGGGUAACGGCCUACCAAGGCGACGACGGGUAGCCGGCCUGAGAGGGCGACCGGCCACGACUGGGACUGAGACACGGCCCAGACUCCUACGGGAGGCAGCAGUGGGGAAUAUUGCGCAAUGGGCGAAAGCCUGACGCAGCGACGCCGCGUGGGGGAUGAAGGCCUUCGGGUUGUAAACCCUUUCAGCAGGGACGAAGCGAAAGUGACGGUACCUGCAGAAGAAGCGCGGCUAACUACGUGCCAGCAGCCGC
rnacentral:rRNA from 1 species